CAGCUUCUGAAGACAGAGAAGCUGACUGACGAUUGAAAAUUACUCAAGAGUGGUAGACUGAAGUGGCAAUUACUCUUACACCCUUGACUGGAGUUCUCUCUCGUGCUUCUUUAUAACAACUGUGUUUACAGGAGACGGAUAUUGUCAGGAAGAAGUUUGCUGUCAGAAACAUUGUGAGAAGAGAGCAUACUCAUCUGCUUAAUAGGAGAAACAGAGUUAAACAGAUUUUGCUAUACAAGUUCAAAUCAGAGUAAUCCCCAGCUACCACAGCCUGUGUUCCUUCACAAAUAUGGACAUCCUGUAGGCUCUGGAGCCACUGCCAUGCAAAUACUAAUGACCAAAAGGGGAAAAAAACAAUGAUCAUGUCUGAGACACUGUCACAGCUAAAUGGCUGUAGGAGAGGAAGAAAUAUAUACUAACAAGGGGAAAAUUAUUUGUCAUUGUGUAAUAAAGCAUCGAAUAUCAUUAGGUCACUUGAUCCUGAAAAAUGCACAGAAUCUGUCUUCAUGCUCUGUUUUUAAUUAAACUUUCCAUUUGCUCAUG